AGCCAAUACAAUAGGAUCCAAAUAGUAAUAAACACCCACAAAACCCAAUUAACAACCACCACCUCACCCAACUGAGAAGGAAAGGGUUUAAAGCACUGCCGCCGUCGAAGUCUGCCGUCCAACGUACGCACCACCAUAAGCCACUGCCGAACAACAGCACUCUUCCGUUUCCUCCUUUACUCACACCGCCGCCGUUGAACCACCAUCUCGUCCAUCACCUCUUCCUCUCCGGUUUCAAGAAACGGAUCUAGAUUUUCAAUCAAUUCAUCCUCACAAUGGAUUUCGUUGAAUUGGAGGCAGUAGAAGGCCUCCGUUGGUCAUGGAAUUCAUGGCCAUCAACAACCAAAUCAGACCUAACAAUCCCUCUAACCAUCAUGUGCACACCACUCUCCCAACACGGCACUGACCUACCUCUUCUCCCUUACGAUCCUCUCCUCUGCACUCGAUGCGGCGCCGUUUUAAACCCUUACGCUCGUCUCGAUUAUCAAUCACGUAUCUGGCACUGUCCCUUUUGUUCUCAACGAAACCCUUUUCCUCGCUCCAUCGCCGACGCUAAUCUUCCCGCUGAACUCUUUCCUACUUACACCACUGUUGAAUACUCUUCUUCUUCUUCUUCUUCUUCUUCUUCACUUUUUCAUCCUCCAGCUUUUAUUUUUGUUAUCGAUGUUUCCACUUCUCAAGAUGAGCUUUGUUCACUUAAGAAUGAGAUUUUGCUUCUUCUUCAUCAUUUGCCUGAUACUGCUCUUGUUGCUUUGAUUACUUUUGAUUCAAUGGUUUAUCUUCAUGAUAUUCAGUUUUCUCACUGUUCCAGGAUCGUUCUUUUGCACGGUGAACACCAAUUUUCUUCCGAUCAGAUACGGCAGUUCCUGAACAUUAGCCGUCCACACCAGCUGCAUACUGGACAAACACAGCCUGUUCCAAAGCAGGGAUUUCUGGUUCCAAUUUCAGAAUGUGAGUUUAGUAUCACUGCUGCAAUUGAAGAUAUUCAUUCUUCGUAUAACUUCAGGUCCGGAAACCGUCCCCCGAGGUCCACUGGAGCUGCAAUUUCAGCUGCCCUUGGACUUUUAGAGUGUUGUUUUGUAAAUACCGGCUCUAGAAUCAUGGUCUUCACUUCUGGGCCUGCGACUCUUGGACCUGGACUGGUUGUGGACUCUGAUUUCCGGCAAUCCAUGAGAACCCACAAUGACAUUUUCAACGGGCAGGCGAGACAUCAUUCUAAAUCUUGCAGUUUCUAUAGGCAGAUUGCGAAGAGGCUGUUUGAUGCGUCUGUUGUUCUUGAUCUGUUUGCUUGCUCCCUUGACCAAGUUGGAGUUGCCGAGCUUCGAGAACCCAUUGAGCGUUCGGGUGGAUUUGUGGUUCUUGCCGAAUCCUUUGAAUCAGAUCAAUUUAGGAAAUGUCUAAGGCACUUGUUUAAACAUGAUGAUGAUGAGGGAUUUUUGAAGAUGAAUUUUGAUGCAACCAUUGAAAUAGUGACUACUAAUGAUGUCAAAAUUUCUGGAGCUCUUGGACCUUGCAUGUCUCUUAGAAAAAAGAACGCUUCAGUGAGUGAGACUGAGGUUGGACAAGGUGGUACCUGCGUGUGGAAGUUGAAUACACUCACUGACCGAACUUGCAUUGCUUUUUUCUUCCAAGUUAGUGAUAAACAGACCAUUCAGCCCAGCUCUGCAUUUAUGGUUCAGUUUAUAACACGGUACAGGCAAGGGAACAUGGGUCUCAGAAAAAGAGUCACCACUGCUGCACGACGAUGGGUUGCAAACCAUUCCACAGAUAUUGCUGCUGGGUUUGAUCAAGAAGCAGCAGCUUCGGUUAUGGCAAGACUUGCCAUUCUCCGAGCAGAGACGUGUCAUGCCCGUGAUGUUGUUAGAUGGCUUGAUGACACACUUAUCCGUUUUACCUCUAAGUUUGGGGACUAUGUGCCAGAAGAUCCUUCUUCCUUCCGUUUAUCUUCAAACUUUUCCCUUUAUCCCCAAUUUAUGUUCCACUUAAGGAGAUCCCAAUUUAUUGAUGUCUCUAACACUACUCCUGAUGAAACUGCGUAUUUCCGGCUUAUGCUGAACCGCGAGGGAGUAGUUGGAUCCCUUAUAAUGAUUCAACCUACACUUUUUCAAUAUUCGUUUGAUGGGCCACCCAUUCCUGUACUUCUAGAUAUUCGUUCCAUUUGCCCCGAUUCUAUCUUGCUCUUUGAUUCAUUCUUCCUUGUGGUGAUCCAUUAUGGGUCCAAGAUUGCUCAGUGGAAGAAGCUUGGUUAUGAUAAGGACCCAAACCAUGAAAAUUUUAGAAAGCUGUUGGAAGCUCCAGAACUGGAUGCAGAACAGUUGGUGGCUGAACGGGUUCCAGUGCCAAAGGUUAUAAGAUGUGACCAGCAUAGUAGUCAGGCUAGGUUUCUUCUUGCCAAGUUGAAUCCAUCUGUUACGCAAAAUUCAACAUACACAGAUGGUUCGGAUAUCAUCUUUACGGAUGACUUGAGCUUGCAAGUUUUUCUAGACCAAUUGCAGAUACUGGCAGUUCAAGGCUGAUAAGAAAUUUCAGGACAAACGAUAGAAAUGAUUUUUUGAUUGUGUGGCAGCAUGUACUGAAGCAAAAAAUGCAGCAAAUUUGUAGGUUUUAUUUAGACAAAGAAUGAAUGAGCCACUGUCGUGGAGUGCCAAAGUCAGGAUGUCAUUUAGUUCCACAACAUUAACCAUGCUCACGGGGAAGAAAAACCCUUCAAUUCUUCGAGAAAAUGGUGGUGAUUAAUUAAUCUAAAUUGGUUGAGAAGUAAGUAAAGGCACAACAAAAAAAAUUCACCUUAGAAUUGAACUCAGGUACAAGCCAAACUAUUCAAUUCAACUUUAGAUGAAGUUCAGACACCACUUGAGUUCUAUUACUUGAUUAUCAUUGAUUUUUUAUAUGGCUUGAAGAUAUUUUGGAAGAGAGAUAGAUGAAUUGAGUCAUGUAAUAUUAGUUGAAUGAAACUUCACCUUUAAUUGUUGGAGGAGGGCUAACUUGCCCAAACAUCUCUGGUUCAUCAUCGUUGUUGUAGAAUUGGGACAAUCCAAACAUCAUAUAGCAGCUAGGAUAUAGAAUUUUUCCCUCUGGACUUGCCAAACUACUCCAAGGAAUUUCAUUUUGGAAAAUGUUUUGCAGGCAGGCUCUGCAAUCUGUAUCAGACAGAUCUGGCGUACAUUGAGCAAGAGUGUAUAUGGGUUGAAGAUCAUUCAAUUUUACUGAUCUUGUUUCAUAAUUCUUAAUGGUUCUAUCCCCUGUCUGUAAAUUCCCCACUUCAUGUAAGAUAUCUGCCAGUUUCCAAGUUGUGAAUCUAUGCAGCAGGUUGAGGUUAGAACUAUUGGCCAAAUUGAAUUGGUGAAAUUUUGGAGCACUUGUAUCAAUACGUGAAAGGAGAGAAUGAUAGGAAUAGCGGAGUAAACAUUUAUCGUACCAAAUUAUAGCCUCUUUGGAGGAAGGGCACUCCGAUAAUAUUCUUUUUGUUGCAUGUUGGAUACAUAGCUGACAGAGGGUAGGGGAGAUGGAGAUAUCACCACGGCACAUAAAGAGACCAUUGGCAGUGUCGACUGUCGUCUUUAAGAAACUGGUUCUGAUGGCAUUGGAAGACAAAGAAGUGAAGAAUGUUUUGAGAUUUGAUAGAAAAUCAUUGUUCACGGGUUCAUUGAUUGAACAGUUGUGGGAAAGAUAAGCAGGAUGUUGUGAGUAUUUUGAAUCGAUUGUAUUGGAAGCUGGAACGAGUUCUUGUGGUGUUGGAGCAUUACUGGGGCGAUAGAAAGGGUACACAUCAUAUCUGAUGUAACAACUGUCUGGUGUGCACUGAGCUUGAAAAUAAAGGGUCUGAAAUCCAGAUACUGUUGCUUCCUUUGUGGCAUACUUCUGGAAGCCAAUAGAGAAGUUGGCUGCCUCGUCUGCCACUCCAUUCAAAGUUUUGUAAACUAAACGCUCAAAUAUUGCCUUGUUGGAAACAUUAACAUGGUGGCAUGAGAUAGAAGGUGAACUAAAGUCAGCAGUGGGGAAGAAAGAGUAGUUGGAAUAUUGCACCAUGCACUCCUUGUACAUAAUCACCACCUCUUUGGACAAGGAACAAUCAGAGUAGUCUGAGGAUAAAUUGGCACGAGUUACGUUUGUGACACGCUCACUGCAGAGAUGAGUAGGGACAUCACCCUUACACAUAAACAAGCCAUAGACUGUGUUGGAGGAGUGGUUUUUGUCUGCUACCGUAGUGUUGUAGAAUUCUUUGUUGGCAGUGGCGUUUGAAGAUAAAUCUAAUAGGAGGGUCCUGAGAUUCAAUUGGAAAGCGCUAUUUGGAGUGGUUUUGUUGUCUGAGCAAGACAUGAAAAGCAGGCCAUCGUUUUCUGCUUUAGUGGUUACAAAAUUGACGAAGCAAACAAGGAUAAAAAUAAAGACGCGGUUGAAGGAGGCCGUGGAGUGUUUGUUAGUCUUUGAUUGCACUACCAUGAUGGAUGUAGUAAUGCUCGUGCUGCUAUAAGUUUUGCUGUUUUGUAUUAGUCUCAAUGGUUUCCAUAUUUAUUAAAAUUUAAAUUGAAAGUUCAACUCCUAGUUGUAGUUUGGUCAAACAGUGUAGGGCACAGCAGCACAAGUCAAUGAAUCCAAAUGUCAAUGAAAGCUAGUACGUUUUGAUAA